GGAGGGUAUAGCUCAGUGGCAGAGCGCAUGCUUGGCAUGCAUGAGGUCCUGGGUUCAAUCCCCAGUACCUCCA
rnacentral:tRNA from 1 species